AGGGAUACGUGGUGCAGGAUUUUGAUUUUGAUCCUCUACUUACGUGCAGCAACAGCCGAGGAGAGUUCUCCGUACUAAAAUAUGAUGGUACCUUGCCGCAAUGCGCAGAGGAAUCGGAGGGAUCGUUCUUUGACUACAAGCUACAGGAGUACUAUUAUUUCGUUGGCGACUGUGUUGCGGCGAAGGAACAGAUCCGACAGAAUUUCAUCUCCGCUUUAAAAACAAGCCUGGGUGACGUAAGCUCGAAUCUCAACUGUUCAUCUGAUCUUGUGGAGGUACACUGUCCAUUUCUGCUGUCUUGACGCUGUCAGGAAAAGGUCCAAAUAAAUUGUCACCGUCGAAAGCCAUUACAAUGCAAAAGCAGAUACAUCAGGCACGCGCCAAGAGCAACGUCAGUCUGGAAAUUGGUAACGAAAUGGCACUCCAGUUAACGUCCAUCCAAGUUUCCAAUCCCGAAGUCACGUGCACA